rnacentral:rRNA from 1 species
UACGUUCCGGCCUUGUACACACCGCCCGUCACACCACGAAAGUCGGCAAUACCCGAAGCCGGUGGCCUAACCCUUUUUGGGUAGGGGAGCCGUCGAAGGUAGGGUCGAUGAUUGGGGUG